rnacentral:rRNA from 1 species
GGUCAAGCGAAGAAGAGCAUAGGGUGAAUGCCUUGGCACCAGGAGCCGAAGAAGGACGUGACAAGCUGCGAUAAGCCACGGUGAGGCGCAAAUAGCCUUUGACCCGUGGAUUUCCGAAUGGGGGAACCCCC